rnacentral:rRNA from 1 species
GAUGAACGCUGGCGGCGUGCCUAAUACAUGCAAGUCGAGCGAACAGAUGAGGAGCUUGCUCCUCUGACGUUAGCGGCGGACGGGUGAGUAACACGUGGAUAACCUACCUAUAAGACUGGGAUAACUUCGGGAAACCGGAGCUAAUACCGGAUAAUAUAUUGAACCGCAUGGUUCAAUAGUGAAAGACGGUUUUGCUGUCACUUAUAGAUGGAUCCGCGCCGCAUUAGCUAGUUGGUAAGGUAACGGCUUACCAAGGCAACGAUGCGUAGCCGACCUGAGAGGGUGAUCGGCCACACUGGAACUGAGACACGGUCCAGACUCCUACGGGAGGCAGCAGUAGGGAAUCUUCCGCAAUGGGCGAAAGCCUGACGGAGCAACGCCGCGUGAGUGAUGAAGGUCUUCGGAUCGUAAAACUCUGUUAUUAGGGAAGAACAAAUGUGUAAGUAACUAUGCACGUCUUUACGGUACCUAAUCAGAAAGCCACGGCUAACUACGUG